GACGAACGCUGGCGGCGUGCUUAACACAUGCAAGUCGAACGGAAAGGCCCUGCUUUUGUGGGGUGCUCGAGUGGCGAACGGGUGAGUAACACGUGAGUAACCUGCCCUUGACUUUGGGAUAACUUCAGGAAACUGGGGCUAAUACCGGAUAGGAGCUCCUGCUGCAUGGUGGGGGUUGGAAAGUUUCGGCGGUUCGGGAUGGACUCGCGGCUUAUCAGCUUGUUGGUGGGGUAGUGGCUUACCAAGGCUUUGACGGGUAGCCGGCCUGAGAGGGUGACCGGCCACAUUGGGACUGAGAGACGGCCCAGACUCCUACGGGAGGCAGCAGUGGGGAGUAUUGCACAAUGGGCGGAAGCCUGAUGCAGCAACGCCGCGUGCGGGAUGACGGCCUUCGGGUUGUAAACCGCUUUCGCCUGUGACGAAGCGUGAGUGACGGUAAUGGGUAAAGAAGCACCGGCUAACUACGUG
rnacentral:rRNA from 1 species